rfam:Folsomia candida strain VT population Fcan01_Sc009, whole genome shotgun sequence.
CCAACGGCCCUUUUAAGGGCCACCACUUUCUCCAAAGAGCAGUCAAU